rnacentral:rRNA from 1 species
GAUGAACGCUGGCGGCGUGCCUAAUACAUGCAAGUCGAGCGAACGGAUGAGAAGCUUGCUUCUCUGAUGUUAGCGACGGACGGGCGAGUAACACGUGGGUAACCUACCUAUAAGACUGGGAUAACUCCGGGAAACCGGGGCUAAUACCGGAUAAUAUUUUGAACCGCAUGGUUCAAUAGUGAAAGACGGUUUCGGCUGUCACUUAUAGAUGGACCCGCGCCGUAUUAGCUAGUUGGUAAGGUAACGGCUUACCAAGGCGACGAUACGUAGCCGACCUGAGAGGGUGAUCGGACACACUGGAACUGAGACACGGUCCAGACUCCUACGGGAGGCAGCAGUAGGGAAUCUUCCGCAAUGGGCGAAAGCCUGACGGAGCAACGCCGCGUGAGUGAUGAAGGUCUUCGGAUCGUAAAACUCUGUUGUUAGGGAAGAACAAAUUUGUUAGUAACUGAACAAGUCUUGACGGUACCUAACCAGAAAGCCACGGCUAACUACGUGCCAGCAGCCGCGGUAA